GCUGAGCCUCUCCUUGAGGGGGUAGUGGUGAUGGGGGGUGAUUUAAAUUGGACUCUCGACCCUCUUCAUGAUACCUCUAAGAAGUCUGCCCUUCGGCCGGAGAAGGAGUAUGGGAGAGUGCGACGCGCCCUGCUCGACCACCAGCUGAUUGACUCUUGGAGACUGACACACCCUUCUGAGGAGAUCGAGGAUAUCCUUGGACCCCCUGGCUCAUGACUCCUUACAGCACACCCAGGCCAGAACCACAGUCAGAGUUUAAUUCCGCGCUUACUGCCACUAGACAGCUGGUGGAGCGCACUAUUGGGGUCCUGAAGGGACGAUUCCGUGUGCUCCACCGCACUGGUGGCGACCUCAUGUAUUCACUGGAAAUGAUGAUGCUGUUGGAGGUCCCCAUGCUUUAAUAGGCCAAAGCCUGCACAGAAUGGAGGGACAUUGCAGGGGCCUCCUGGAGGAAAUCAAGUUUCUACGGAAUUUUUUUCAAAAAGUUUUAGUUACAUUUUGUUUUACAGUUAUGUUUGCUUUUGUUGAAAAAAAAAUACUGUUUACCCAAAAAAACAAACAAAACUUUGUUUACACUACAAAGGAGUUUGCUGUUGUGCUUUA